rnacentral:rRNA from 1 species
CUACGGGUCGCAGCAGUGAGGAAUAUUGCACAAUGGGGGGAACCCUGAUGCAGCAACGCCGCGUGGAGGAUGACGCAUUUCGGUGUAUAAACUCCUUUUAUAUGUCAAGAAAAUGACGGUAGCAUAUGAAUAAGCACCGGCUAACUCCGUGCCAGCAGCCGCGGUAAUACGGAGGGUGCAAGCGUUACUCGGAAUCACUGGGCGUAAAGGACGCGUAGGCGGGUUGGAAAGUCAGGUGUGAAAUCCUACAGCUUAACUGUAGAACUGCACUUGAAACUUCUAAUCUAGAGUAUGGGAAGGGGAGAUGGAAUUAGUGGUGUAGGGGUAAAAUCCGUAGAUAUCACUAGGAAUACCUAAAGCGAAGGCGAUCUCCUGGAACAUUAUUGACGCUGAGACGCGAAAGCGUGGGGAGCAAACAGGAUUAGAUACCCUCGUAGUC